AUUGCUUCUCGGCCUUUUGGCUAAGAUCAAGUG
rnacentral:snRNA from 1 species